UUAAUACUCCCUUUGAUCCUAAAUUGUUGACUCACAUUUGUCCAAAUAUGGAUGUAUCUAUUCCUAAAAAAACGUCUAGAUACAUGUAAUAUUAUGUAAUAUUUCGACAACAAUUUAGAAUCGAAGGGAGUACUAU
rfam:Brachypodium distachyon strain Bd21 chromosome 4, whole genome shotgun sequence.